CUUGGUCAUUUAGAGNAAGUAAAAGUCGUAACAAGGUCUCCGUUGGUGAACCAGCGGAGGGAUCAUUACCGAGUUUACAACUCCCAAACCCCUGUGAACAUACCUUAUGUUGCCUCGGCGGAUCAGCCCGCGCCCCGUAAAAAGGGACGGCCCGCCGCAGGAACCCUAAACUCUGUUUUUAGUGGAACUUCUGAGUAUAAAAAACAAAUAAAUCAAAACUUUCAACAACGGAUCUCUUGGUUCUGGCAUCGAUGAAGAACGCAGCAAAAUGCGAUAAGUAAUGUGAAUUGCAGAAUUCAGUGAAUCAUCGAAUCUUUGAACGCACAUUGCGCCCGCCAGUAUUCUGGCGGGCAUGCCUGUUCGAGCGUCAUUUCAACCCUCAAGCCCAGCUUGGUGUUGGGAGCUGCAGUCCUGCUGCACUCCCCAAAUACAUUGGCGGUCACGUCGAGCUUCCAUAGCGUAGUAAUUUACACAUCGUUACUGGUAAUCGUCGCGGCCACGCCGUUAAACCCCAACUUCUGAAUGUUGACCUCGGAUCAGGUAGGAAUG
rnacentral:rRNA from 1 species